GGUAUCGAUACGAAGCUGCUUUGCACUGAGAGAUUAAAGGAGAUGUAAAUCACUAGAGUAAAUGAAUGUGGUGGAGUUUUUGGCAGUGAUUCGAGAGUUGGAGUUCAUCUACCGAGUCGACGUCUGCAAGGUACUUCAGGAGAUCAUGGCAAAACAAAGGCGUGACCGUACCGCUCCUCAUCCUUAUGACCUGGCUUUUGGGACACUCUGAUUGAAUAAUAAUUUGAAAACAUUUUCUGUAAACAAUACCAUUGGGUUUUAUAUAUGAUUGGAAAAGUUUAAA